AGUACGUGAAACUGCUUAGAGGUUAAGCCCGAUGAACCUGAAUAUCCGUUAUGGAAAAUUCAUCAUUAAUUUUAUAAUAUUUAUCAUAUUAUAAUAAUAGUGUGCAAUUUUUCCAUAUAAGGACAUUGUAAUCUGUUAAUGUAUUAAAUAUUUAUUAAAAGAUCUUAUACGUAAGUUUAUUUGAAUUAGUUAUUUUCGGAUUUCUAACAUAAAGUAAAUGUAUUUGAUUUAAUAAAUCAUUGACAGAUUUUAUUAUAUAUAGUGCUUAAAUUUUUUCGAAAAUUUUACAAUAGCAUGAUAAUUCUAUUUAUUAUGUUUAUUGUAUGCGCUUAUAUGAUUAACAAUGCGAUAGAUUCAGGAUACCUUCGGGACCCGUCUUGAAACACGGACCAAGGAGUCUAACAUAUGUGCAAGUCAUUGGGUAUUUUUAAUAAAACCCAAUGGCAUAAUUAACUUAACUGUUUUAUAUAUGGGAUUAGUUUAAAUUUUAUUAUGAAAUAUAAAUUCAAUCCCGGGGCGUUCUAUACAGUUAUGCAUAAUGGUAUUUAUAUUAUUUAUGCCUCUAACU
rnacentral:rRNA from 1 species